AAAAUCACGGAUUUCAGGCUCACAGCUGAUUUAUGUGAUUAUACGUAGAUUGGAUAUUUAUAAUCGUUAUUGAAAUGAAGUUAGCAAAUAAACAAUGGUAAAAGUGUGUGAAGUAUUUGGGUGUACAACAACAGAAUAUAAAAGAAUAUGUAUGCACAACUUUCCUAAGAAUGUGGAACAGCGAAUGUGGAAAUGCUUGGAUAGCUUGGAUUAUUCAUAAACGACCUGGAUGGAUUUUGAAGACUAAUAGCAGAAUUUGUGAGUUGCAUUUUGUUCCUGAGGAUUAUGUAUACACAAGAGGAAAUAAAAGUCGAAAGCUGAAAAUAUCUGCUUCCUUCAUUGUAAGUAGAAGAAAUUAAAGAUAAUAAAAAUCAAUGUAAUAACGUACGAAGAUUUCGACAAACCCUACAAUAUUUGAAAGAUGUAACAAAUAUUUUCAUUUGGAAAUGACAAAAAAAGAAUGAUCAUGUAUACACUAUUCAAAAGCAUUACCGUAUGAUCAAAACACUGCAUCCUUUCAGCAGGCACAGGACUGUUCAGCAAUAGAAAAUACUCAUAAAAAGGAAGAUUUACAACAAAGUGUAAAAUAUGUGGAAGAUAUACAUAAUGAUAUUAUAUGCAUACACAAUACUAUUGGUGAUGAAUAUAUAUCUUGUUCAACUUCACCAACCGCACCGUCAUCACCAUUUCCAGUGGUGAUGAGUAAGAUAACCAAAUCAUCAAUUUAUUGCAAGAGGACAUAAUGGUAGAAAAAGAAUUUGACAAUGAUUAUAAUAAUGAUACCAUUGUUAAGUUGAAUGAAGUAAUUGCUAAUUUACAGGACAGCAACAAUGAAGGAUUUCUAAGAACAAAAUUUAUUUUGUGUUA